GGAGGCGUGCUUGAGCGGACGAAAAGGGCGGUCUUGAAAACCGUUAUGCCAGCAAUGGCAUCAGAGGUUCGAAUCCUCUCGCCUCCG
rfam:Parcubacteria group bacterium CG1_02_40_82 cg1_0.2_scaffold_1554_c, whole genome shotgun sequence.